rnacentral:rRNA from 1 species
AUGGAUGACACAAACAUACCAAUCAUGAGCUGGAACGUGAGAGGACUAAACACGCCGGCGAGGCGCUCGGUCAUCCGCGAUGCUGCCCACACACACAAAGUAGCAAUCCUCUGCAUACAUGAAACUAAAAUUGACUGCUGGUCCACCAGCUUAGCUGGAGAAAUAGGAGGCACCUGGCUCGACCAGUGUAUAGUUCUCCCCGCCAUUGGAACUAGGGGAGGGGCGGCCAUCUUCUGGAACUCCAGCAUGCUGACGAUGCAAUCUCACUCGAUAGGACAGUUCUCUAUCACAGCAAAAGUACAGAUAGGAGGAUUAGGCAAAGAAUUCUGGCUGACCACGGUUUACGAGCCCUCUAAUGAGGAUAGGAAAGAUGACUUCCUCGCGGAAAUAGCUAGAGUCGCCCUGCCAAUUGGCCAAGCGUGGCUCAUCAACGGCGAUUUCAACAUUAUAUACGAGGCUAGAGACAAGAAUAACACCAACAUCAACCGCAGGCUCAUGGGUAAAUUUAGAGCAGCAAUCGAUGCUGGUGGCCUACGCGAGAUCAAGUGC